rnacentral:rRNA from 1 species
GAUGAACGCUGGCGGCGUGCCUAAUACAUGCAAGUCGAGCGAACGGACGUGAAGCUUGCUUCUCUGAUGUUAGCGGCGGACGGGUGAGUAACACGUGGAUAACCUACCUAUAAGACUGGGAUAACUUCGGGAAACCGGAGCUAAUACCGGAUAAUAUUUUGAACCGCAUGGUUCAAAAGUGAAAGACGGUCUUGCUGUCACUUAUAGAUGGAUCCGCGCUGCAUUAGCUAGUUGGUAAGGUAACGGCUUACCAAGGCAACGAUGCAUAGCCGACCUGAGAGGGUGAUCGGCCACACUGGAACUGAGACACGGUCCAGACUCCUACGGGAGGCAGCAGUAGGGAAUCUUCCGCAAUGGGCGAAAGCCUGACGGAGCAACGCCGCGUGAGUGAUGAGGGUCUUCGGAUCGUAAAACUCUGUUAUUAGGGAAGAACAUAUGUGUAAGUAACUGUGCACAUCUUGACGGUACCUAAGCAGAAAGCCACGGCUAACUACGUG